UUCCUUGUGAAGCCUGGGCCUCUCCGCUUCUGCCGCCAUGUCAGGGGUAACAGAUGAAGAUGAGUCACCCACCUUCAGCCUUGCAGCGUAAGAAAGCAACAGAAGACUUCUUUCCAGGAAUUAGAAAAGGAAACCUGUUUGCUUUUCAAGUCUCGAGUCCCUCCCAUAGAGAUGAAAGGGAAAUUAGAAGAACAGAAUGAAAGAAGAAAAGUGAAAACAGAACCCAAACAGUUGCUGAGUGAAGAAGGCAGGAAGGCGAAGAAGAAAUUGGCUUUGGGAAGUUAAGUUCUGACCCUUACACUGCUGCAGAUAUCCCAAGCUUGACGGCUUCUCCGAGACUCUUACAGGAACCUCCCAAGUAAAAUGUCAGAAAUUUGUUUUCCUUUUGCUGACUUUCACUUUUUCUCUGCAUCUGUAUGUGGUUCAGUGUCAGUGGUUCCUUUUUGCACACUGGGAAGAUUUUACUUUGAAAAAAUCAAAACCCAAAGAGACCGCCAUUCGCCUCAUCUGGAGCCACAGGGUGGGCCAUGCAGGUUUCAGCGCCGGCUGUGCACUGGGACGUAAAUCUUGAGGAAACAGCCUAAUCCCACACAAGCCCCCACUGCAAAUUCUGUCCCUGGCAUUGUUUCCUAACCAGUUCUUGUGAGUACCAUAUUGAUCCUAAAAACGGGCAGCUUCUUAGCUUACAAGUGUUCCCUUUAUGGAGUAUGGAGAGCCAAGCCACGGAGCAGGUAUUACAUCUUAGGGCAAAGACAAGGACCAAGUGAACCUCAUGGACGGAUGUUUCCUGGUGUGUGUGCUCAUUGUUGUCUGUUGGUUUAGUGUGUCUGUCGGCUGUUUUACUGGCGUCUGAUUAAUCCUCCUGGUCACCAGGGGUAAAGCCAGAGUUUCAUCUGAUCUAGGAACAAAACUUUUCCUCUCUUGGAAAGAAGGUGGUCUGUCCAGGUCAGGGUAUGGGUCAUUGGAAGGGCAGCCUUAGGGAGCCUGCUGUUUUCACA